GCUUAACACAUGCAAGUCGAGCGAGAAUCGUUUAUUGAAGGCUUCGGCUGGAAAUAGAUGAGGAAAGCGGCGAACGGGUGAGUAACGCGUGGGCAACCUGGCCUUAAGAAAAGGAUAGCCCCCGGAAACGGGGAGUAAUACUUUAUGAAAAUGAGAGAGGGCAUCCUACUUUCAUUCAAAGCGCAAGCGCUUAAGGAUGGGCCCGCGUAUCAUUAGCUAGUUGGUGAGAUAACAGCCCACCAAGGCCACGAUGAUUAGCCGGUCUGGGAGGGCGAACGGACACAUUGGAACUGAGAGACGGUCCAAACGCCUACGGGGGGCAGCAGUGGGGAAUAUUGCGCAAUGGAGAAGAACUCUGACGCAGCAAUACCGCGUGAGCGAAGAAGGUCUUCGGAUCGUAAAGCUCUGUUAUCAGGGAAGAAGAAAAUGACGGUACCUGAUGAGCAAGUCCCGGCUAACUACGUGCCAGCAGCCGCCGUAA
rnacentral:rRNA from 1 species